rnacentral:tRNA from 1 species
GCGGAUUUAGCUCAGUUGGGAGAGCGCCAGACUGAAGUUGACAGUUUGUUACUGUAAUCUGGAGGUCCUGUGUUCGAUCCACAGAAUUCGCA